UCUGCCCACCACUCCCUUGGUGGGAGCCAUUUUCAUGAACACAGUCUUGGCAGAGUACGGUGUAUAUAUACACUCGGAAGAUUCUGGCGGGCGGGUGUGGAGAUGUACUGGAGUUGCUGCGGCGCAGGGCAUGCCUGGUUCGGAAGCUCCCUCGCUUAACCUGCCACCUACCCCUCUUUAGUGGCUGCGUCUUUCUUCGGUCUCUCCUUGCCCUCUGUGUGUGUGUGGGGGGGUCAGUUUGCGAACCAAAAGGGACUGUAAGGAAUGAAGAGGGAGUCCUUCAUUCCCGUCUCAUGGGAAGACCCUGAAUUACAUUCCCUUCUCUGCACCCUGAAAAGUUUCAGCUGCAGAUAGCUGCUGAUUCCAGGCUUCAGAUGAAAAGCCACAGCUUUCCUCAAGCCAGAGCAGGAACUGUUUUUCUCAGUGGGCUGCUAAGCCUGAACACUGGGUUCCCCGGAGCUCCCUUAAACAGACCAGACCACACCACUUGGGCAAGGUUUUGAAUAACCAAAAAGACUCGGGAAGAGGCUGCCUGGUCCAGCAACCCUGAUAAACAAUUCAAUGAUCACCUCAGGGAAAGCAGCAAACGUGAAAAUUUGAUGGCUUAGGCCAUAUUUCACAUCCUUGGAGGGCUGUUUGUAUGUUUUGUAUCAUAACUACAAGUCACAGGAAAAUCAACAAGAAAAGAAAACUUGUGGAGUGGUCACAGCAUGCAUUUCAGCUGUGUUAUACUUGGCAACUGAGUUCUGAAUGGCAGAUGAGUUGUUGCUUUCUAAUUGCAUCAUGUUGUAUAGCUAUCUACUUUUGUCUCCAAUAAAAGACCUCAAAAACCGUGCUAUUGCAAGUAAAUUCAGGUCUAUUAAUUUUGAGUUAGAUUACCCUUUGCUGUAAUAUGUCUUGGAACAUGUUAUUUUACUGAAAUGUAGAUUAAAUUCACUCAGCAUAUUUUAUUAUAUCUUAUUAUAUACAUCUAAUGUUAAAGAACUGAAACAUAUGGCCCAAAUCUUUGCCUAAACAAGAUCUUGCAUGAUUAUUGGGCAAAAAUAUAAGGACUUUGAAUAAAACCUAAUAGUACCAAUGUAACUCUAUUUUAAAAGAGUUAUGAUAUAAGAGAGACCUCACAUGUAUCAAAUGUAGUGUGUAAGAGUAGCUCUGUCUCUAUAAAUCAUAUAAGUGAGAUUCUAGUUAAGCUAUUUUGAACUUAUAAAACUAAAAUAAUUAUAAAUUCCAGUAGGCAUGUGGGAGGAGAAAGGGAGAUACCUACAAAUUAAGAGUCAGAAAAAGUUUGGGACCAGAACUGACUCCAGAGACAGGAGUGGGUCCAAACCUGAAAAGCAGCAGAAGAGACACAGGUGGACAGAGAGAGGGAAGACUGAGGGUGGAGGUUCUAAAAGAGAAGACUAGAUAGUACAUCCUGGGGGAGGGCACUCUUAUAAUCCUGGUAAUAGGUCCAAACCAAAUUCAUUUCAUGUUCAAGGCCAACUUGUUCAGUUUAUUAUUAAAGUGCUGCAAGAGAAAGAGAAUGUGCUUUGGCAUCAAAGACCUGAGUUUGUAUCAUGGCUCGAGCUACUUAGCUCUGUGACCACAAUGUGUUUUUCUCAACUGUGAAAAAAGGGUGAUAACUGUACAAGAAUGUCUCAGGGAUCAGGGCUUCUGAUAGGAUUACAGAUACAAGAAGAUGCUCACUAAAUGGUAACUAUAACUUUUAUAGCUCAAGUAAAGAAACUGGGUCUUGUGUAUUCUGGAGCUUGUCAUUGCAAGCCAAUCUUUUAUCAAAUUAUUUGUGUUUUAAUAUUUUGGAUUUUGAUGUUUUUGCUUUUUAAUAUUUUGGAUUUCUUUUUCAUUUUCCCAUUGCUACCAUUUCCCUAAUAGGGUUACUGUAAAAAAAGAGAAUUAUUUCUUUGCUGAAACUAAGGAGAAAAAUAAUUUGCUGUCAAAACCAGAAAGUUAAGUGAUUUUAGAGGACACACUUGGGGGGGGGCACAUCAGUAUCUGGCUGGAAGAUGGGGAAAAGGAGAGAAUAAAAGAGAACGAUGGUGCAAGAGAAUGGUAAAAUCAGGUACAGUGGGAUUUCCAAUCCAUCUCCACUUGAGCCAUUUGUUUCCUUAGUUUUGUUUUUGUUUUUGUUCUACUUUUUUCUCUGAUUCUCUGUUGUUUGGGAAAGUCAAAGUGGGGCAAGUUGGUUUUGGUCUCAGGGGUACUAGAAGAAGUUAUAUUUGCCCAAUGUAUUGGAUAAUAGAUCCAUUCAAGAGAACUGUUAAGUCAAGAAUUCUAAGGACAGAAUAGGGCAGAUUUGGGGACAAAUCAUGUUAGGGCAUGAUAGCCAGAAAAAAGGGAGUCUAAAGCAGUGACUUCUAACCCUGGAUGUAUAUUGUAGUCACUUAUGGUCCUUUGAAAAAAUAUAGAGACUUGAGCCCCACAUUGAGAGAUUUUGAUAUAAUAAGCUUGGUGGUACCUAGGCAUUGGUAUUUGUCAAAUACUUCCCUGGUAGUUCUAGAGUCCAGCCAAGACUGAAAACCUACGUAUAAACUAAGGGUGAAAGUCUAGGGCAGAUGCUUUUCAUAUAUGAUGCAAAAAAUGCUUUCAAGUCCUAUAGUAACAGAAUAUAUUCAGAUAUGUAUAAAAUGAUUACAGCACAUCCACCACUGGUUUUUUUUGAUCAGUCAUCAUUCAUUCAUUCAUUUAUUCUUUCUUUCUUUCAUUUAUUCAUUCACUUAUUUUGAGUACCUACUGUGGGAGAGACAUACAGACAUCGGCUUAUCCCUGUCUAGGCAUUGGAACCCCCCUUCCUAUUGUUUUCCCAAUAGAUGCAAUAUACCUGUAUUGUGUUUUCCAACCACUAUUAGUUUUUAACUUUCAAAGUGCAAACUCAAGGAGGUUGCAUAGCCUAUGUAUCAGGUGGUACAUAUGUAAAGAACCCCCUUCUCUAAAUCUUUAUGUGAAUCUGGGAAUGUGAUGUACCUUCUACAAGCUAUGAUAAUAUAUGAAUUUUAUUUUGACCGUUAACGAUCUUGGACAUUCAGCAUUUUGACACUUCUUCCCUGCUCACCCUGAUUCACAACACCAGUAUCUCUAAUGAUUAAAUUCUACUCUGGAUUAUGCAUUGUGCUUUACCUUUCCCUUCAAGAAAACAUUCUGGUUUUCUUGAGCUUGACCUCAUCUCCUAUUGGCCCCAGUUUAAUGUCAUAUGAUUAGUUAGUACUGGUAGAAUUUGAUGUCAAUAUGGCUGAUGGAAACAGUAUCUUUAUUGGAAAGUUACUGAUGGUAAAUCUUCACAAAUAUUCAAGUGAGUCCUUGAAAAUUACUUCAGCAUAAUUCACGACACUAAAGAAAUUAAUAUUUUCUGUGUGUACAUUUCAAUGCUAUUACUAUAAAAUAUAUUUCAGCAAUAAUAGUACAUGUUUUUAUUUUCUUAAGUCUUGCCAGAAAAAUGAUGAUUCUGAACUCAUAAUAUUUAUCUCAGAGGAAGUUGUUUUUUUAUAAUCUGGGGAUUCUUUGAUAGUGUAAUGGGAGAUAGUAAUAAUAAGAAGAAAACAAUUAUAGCUAACAUUUAUUGAAGGCUUUCCAUGUGUCAGGAAUGGUUCUAAGUGCCUAACAUAUUUUAUCUGAUUUCAUUUUCAUUAUGUGAUAUAUAAAGCAUAUACUAGUUAAGUAAUGUUCUUGAGGUCAUACAGCUACUAAGAAGAACUAUGAUGCACUGCUUAAAUAUACAUUUAAUAUUUUACAAAUAAAAAAGAAAAUUCUUGGUUUUCUGAGUAAAAUCCACAUAUAAUUAAAAUCUCCUUGGUUUGAUACCUCCAAAUUAUUUUCAUUUUUAAUGUAAAUUUAAAAUAAUUACUCAUUUAAAAAUACUACUAGUUCAAUGCUGUCUGUUCUGUAUUCAGAAUUUUAAUUACAAACUAUUAUUUUAGGUAAACAAUUCUAAUCUAGAACAACAUAUUGUGUAUGUUUAUUACACAUUGCUUAAUAUACUUAAUAGAAUAGAGAGCCAGAAAUUCAACUGGAGUUUUGAAAUUUUAGAGUAGUUUUACAUAACUCAGCAGGGUACCAGUUUUUUUGUGAUAAAAAAAAUGAGAGUAAUAGGCUUAAUAUUUGACAUAACAUUUUGAUAAAAUGAAGAUUUCCUGGAAAUAUAAUUUGCAUAUUGAAUUUACUCUUUGAAAUAGAGAAAUAGUUCUUUUCUCAUCUGUACCAUGUAUAUAUACUCUGUGCAAAGAUGCAUCUUUGAGAUGCAUACCAUGUAUGUAUGCCUCUACAACAUAGAUAUUUGAGAACCUCUAGUGUCUCCAGAUGCCAGCAGGAGUGGUCUGAGACUUAUCUGAACACUCUUAUAUAGUUAUUUUAAGGUGACCUUCUUUGAAAAGAGGGUCAUAUUUUCUUCAAUAUUUGAAAUUUUUAAAUUUUAUUUUUUAUUAUUUUUAGCGAUUUGAGUUUUAAUUUUUUUAAUGUUUA